UUGCUGCGUGGAACAAUCCCAGCGGGACUGAUCUGUGGAUUUCCAAUCCCUACCGUGGUCAGAAGUAUCCUGCCGACCUUAGGGACCGACCUGAAGACGUCUUAAGAGUUUGGAGCAUCUCCCAACUCUUAAAACCUGGGCACCCAGGAGCACCACCAGCGACCUGCGUGGAGCAACCACCUCUGGGCCUAAGGCUCAUUUGGCCAGGCAGCAGUGGCGCAUCCCUUGGAUCGGAGUGCUCAGAAGGCAGAGGCAGAAAGAGCUCUAGGCGUUCCAUACCAGCCUGGUCUACAGAGCGAGUUCCAGAAUAGCCAAGGCUCUAUGGAAAAAUCCUGUCUCGGGGAAAAAAACUUUUUUUCCUGCCUCAUUAAUUAUAGUGAUGUAUAUUGAAAUGACU
rnacentral:lncRNA from 1 species